rnacentral:rRNA from 1 species
AGUGGCGAACGGGUGAGUAACGCGUGAGGAACCUGCCUCAAAGAGGGGGACAACAGUUGGAAACGACUGCUAAUACCGCAUAAGCCCACGGGUCGGCAUCGACCAGAGGGAAAAGGAGCAAUCCGCUUUGAGAUGGCCUCGCGUCCGAUUAGCUAGUUGGUGAGGUAACGGCCCACCAAGGCAACGAUCGGUAGCCGGACUGAGGGGUUGAACGGCCACAUUGGGACUGAGACACGGCCCAGACUCCUACGGGAGGCAGCAGUGGGGAAUAUUGCACAAUGGGGGAAACCCUGAUGCAGCGACGCCGCGUGGAGGAAGAAGGUCUUCGGAUUGUAAACUCCUGUUGUUGAGGAAGAUAAUGACGGUACUCAACAAGGAAGUGACGGCUAACUACGUGCCAGCAGCCGCGGUAAAACGUAGGUCACAAGCGUUGUCCGGAAUUACUGGGUGUAAAGGGAGCGCAGGCGGGAAGACAAGUUGGAAGUGAAAUCCAUGGGCUCAACCCAUGAACUGCUUUCAAAACUGUUUUUCUUGAGUAGUGCAGAGGUAGGCGGAAUUCCCGGUGUAGCGGUGGAAUGCGUAGAUAUCGGGAGGAACACCAGUGGCGAAGGCGGCCUACUGGGCACCAACUGA